rnacentral:rRNA from 1 species
UACGGAGGGGGCGAGCGUUAUUCGGAAUUAUUGGGCGUAAAGGGCGCGUAGGCGGCUUGACAAGUCAAAGGUGAAAUCCCUCGGCCCAACUGAGGAACUGCCUUUGAAACUGUCUGGCUUGAGGCCGGGAGGGGGUAGCGGAAUUCCGAGUGUAGAGGUGAAAUUCGUAGAUAUUCGGAGGAACACCAGUGGCGAAGGCGGCUCACUGGCUCGGUACUGACGCUAAGGUGCGAAAGCGUGGGGAGCAAACAGG